rnacentral:rRNA from 1 species
UACGAGGGGGGCAAAUGUUGUUCGGAAUUACUGGGCGUAAAGCGUGUGUAGGCGGCUAGGUAAGUCGGAUGUGAAAGCCCCAGGCUCAACCUGGGAAGUGCACUCGAUACUGCUUAGCUCGAGUACUGGAGAGGUUGGUGGAAUUCUCGGUGUAGAGGUGAAAUUCGUAGAUAUCGAGAGGAACACCGGUGGCGAAGGCGGCCAACUGGACAGAUACUGACGCUGAGACACGAAAGCGUGGGGAGCAAACAGG